AAAAUGGAAAACCGAGAGGAGAGAACGAAGAGGAAAAGGCAAACGGUGCCUGCUCCCGCUGACGAGGUUGGGAGUGUUGCCAAAAAAAAAAAGAGGGGUUGGAGAAGGCAUUUAUGGAGAGAAAUCUAAAAUAAAAUCCAAAACCCUCCUUUUUAAAAAAAAAAAAUAUAUGCUAUCUGAAUUUAGAAUAAAAAUCUAAAACCCUUCAUAUUUAUAUCCUAAUAUAUUUUCUCACUAAAUUAUAGUUAGAAAUUUUUCCUUCGGCUCUCCCUUGGCUUCCUGGGACAUUGGAUUGCAGCACAUGUUAAUGAAGCAAUUUUGAAGCUGGAAAUGAGCGUAGGGCUACGAUACACGAUCGGAUCAUGGUUGACGGUCCGCUGACUUAUGGAAUUACUGGAACAACUGUAUUGAAAAGUA
rnacentral:lncRNA from 1 species